rnacentral:rRNA from 1 species
UACGAACUGUGCGAACGUUAUUCGGAAUCACUGGGCUUAAAGGGUGCGUAGGCGGCUGCCUAAGUCAGGUGUGAAAUCUCUCGGCUCAACCGGGAAACUGCGCUUGAUACUGGGUGGCUCGAGUGAGGUAGGGGUGUGUGGAACUUCCGGUGGAGCGGUGAAAUGUGUAGAUAUCGGAAGGAACGCCAGCAGCGAAAGCGGCACACUGGGCCUUUUCUGACGCUGAGGCACGAAAGCCAGGGGAGCGAACGGG